GUCUGUCUAUAUGCUGCUUUUGCCGGGGAUAGGCCAGGAAUGGAGUCUUAGAACUUUUAGAUGAAAUGUUCUACCCAUCCCUGUGCAAGAUGACUCUUACAUCAUGCAGGGGCAGAUCCACUGAAGUUAAUGGAGCUGUGACAAGAUACACCAGCUGAAGAUCAAUCACACUGACAUCACCCACACACCUGUUUUGCCUGCCACCAGAUGGAGUGCUUUUCUCAAAGACGUUCUCGCUAGUACUUAAGACCCAGAGAAACAAAAAUAAUGGCUUUCUCCGUUCUGGAAUAUGAAAGUUAUCUUCCAUUAAUGACUUUGAAUACUUGAUAGUGGCAUUUUAUUUAGCCUUAGUUGUUUAAGAGGUAACCCAGAGGAUCUGUUUUGUUUUUGAAAUGUUGAUUGAUGGCCGUUUUGUAAAACAAUCGUGACAUCCCUGGACCACCCUGCUUAUAUAAAGAUGUUCCAAACAGUGCAUCAGAAAUCUGGAGGGGAAACCUCCAAAGACCUCAGAGGCUCUGUGGGACCCAAUAUCCAGAGGUGCCACGAUGUUGCAAAGAUGCAGACCUUCGCAACUGUUGUGUCCCCUGGAAUUUUCAGUGCUGGCUGCCCAGCUGUCUUUCUGAAGUACCAAAUCAGUAGCAGCUUGAAACAAGGAUGAAGAGUCAGCACCAUGAGCCCAGCCUGCUCUCCACAGAUCCACCAGCAAGUGGCCUACAGCCGAUAGUCUGGGCAUUGCUGGUAUAUCAGAAUUGUAAUGUUCUGGCUGCAGCUCAACAGGAAAUUAGACGUGUAGUCAUUGCAAUUUACAGCUCCAGUAGCACAGCUGACAAGAUCGCAUCUGUGUGGGAGGGGUUUUAACUCAUGUGGAAACGGUGCUCCCCUCGUGUUAUGUGAGAAGAGAAUUCAUAUCUGUCCUGGCUGUGGUAGCCACACAUGUUGCAUUCGAAAGGAUCGCGGAACCCAUGACAGCCCAUGUGGAUGGUGUACAUCACAUGAUCCAAGAAAAGAACUCUACAGUGUUCGCACUUGUAAACUUUUACUUGCUCCCCAUUGCUGGUGAUCACUUUGAAAGCAUCGUGGGAAUUGUCAGUACCUGCCCUCAGGACUUCAUAUUGCCUCUGUUCUUCUUUUAUAGACAGGCCAUUUCUUGCGUGGGGAACUAUGUGAUUCGUCAGGUAAAUUAAACCGCUGCGCUCCUCA